AUACUUACCUUCUUGUGGCCCCUCAGCUCAAGCAUUGGGGUGGCCAGUGAGAAUCUCCUGUAUUGCACAGCACGGAGAGGUUUUCGCUCGAGUGUGCUUCGGCACCCUCGACGGGGCAAUUUUUGUUGGUCUGCCUUUGGCACAA
rnacentral:snRNA from 15 species